rnacentral:rRNA from 1 species
UACGUAGGGGGCGAGCGUUGUCCGGAUUUAUUGGGCGUAAAGGGUUCGCAGGCGGUUCUUUAAGUCAGAUGUGAAAGAUCACGGCUCAACCGUGGUAAGCAUUUGAAACUGAAGAACUUGAGUUAAGGAGAGGAAAGUGGAAUUCCUAGUGUAGCGGUGAAAUGCGUAGAUAUUAGGAGGAAUACCAGUGGCGAAGGCGACUUUCUGGACUUAUACUGACGCUGAGGAACGAAAGCGUGGGGAGCAAACAGG